rnacentral:lncRNA from 1 species
GGUAAGAUAUGAACUCAUUCGGAAGGCACGCAGGCCCCUGGUAAGCCGACUCAAGUUCUGUUUCAGACUCAUUUCCUACAAUUGCACCUGUUUUCUGUUCUGCAAUCGGCUAUUUUAAACAAUAGAUUUCAUUAAAAUUACAUAAUAACAAGUAAUUAUCCCAUGCCUUGAAGGGAUCUGAUAUAUUCAGACUUGAAACGCUGUAAUUAUAAGCUUUCCUCAAAGACAGAUGCACCAGCAGGCUCAUUCCAUCAAUAGGCACAGGAACACUACCACUCACUCAUUUGGCAAAAAAAAAAAAAAAAAAAAAAAAAAAAAAACAGUCCCGAGGGCUGUAAGAGGAUCAGAGGCCCCACUGGAUUUUUCAAGUCCUCUGUGCACAGUCUUGGUUCAGAAACCAGAACUGUAUUUUGAUACCAUGAACUCCAUCUUCAUGCCCUCAGUUAUAUACAAAACUGGGGUAAGAACUUAAAAAGAACUUUUAUCAACCAAGGACUGAAGUCAAAGCACAGAUAGCAUUCCACAGGAGGAAGAACAGAAAUCUAAGAGAACGGUCAAACAGAAAACACAGGCUAAGAAGUGCACAGUUUUUUGGUUUGGUUUGGUUUGGUUUGGUUUGGUUUGGUUUGGUUUGGUUUGGUUGGCUUGGCUUGGCUGGGCUGGGCUUGGCUUGGCUGGGCUGGGCUGGGCUGGGCUGGGCUUGGCUUGGCUUGGUUGGAAACAGGGUCUUAUGUAUCCUAGGCCGGCCCUGAACCUGCUAUGCUCCUGAGGAUAACCUUAACUUCUGAUCCUCCUGGUUUAUAUGGGACAGAAGAUCCGAUGCAGGACCUGACAGUGGGUAGGCAAGAACUCUCCCCAUUGAGCCUCAUCUCCAGCCCCAAGCUGUAAAUGCAUUACUUACCCUGAGACCCGGCAGUGCACCACAAUAGUAGGAGUGUUUCAUUGUAGUGUUACCCUACAGUCUGUCCAUCCGCUAUGAUGGUUCCCCUUCAGUGGAUUAUAAACAGACAAUGGACCACUUGUGAGAACUGAUAUCCAAUUGGAUACCCAAUUGGCAAAUACAUGCUUUUUCUUUCAACUAGAGCUGGGAAAAGCAAAGCUGGCUCCAGUUUAAUUAAGUGUUAAUUCAACCCCAUGAAAACCCCCAGUUUUCUCCACACUGCUUCAUGAUUUAUCUAAGGCUCCUAUCUCAUGGGGAAAAGUGAGUGCCUUAGUUUCAGUUUUAUUGCUGUGAAUAGGCACCAUGACCAUGGCAACUCUGGUAAAGGUAAGCAUUUAAUUAGGGCUGGCUGACAGUUUCACAGGUCCAUUAUUAUCAUGGGAGGAAGCAUGACAGCAUGCAGCCAGGCAUGGUGCUAGAGGAGCCAGGAGUUCUACAUCUUGGUCUACUGGUAGCAAAAGGAGACUGGCUUUCCUUCCACAGGCAGCCAGGGGGAGGCUCUGAUUCCACACUGGACCAUAGCUUGAGUUUAUAUUUAAGACCUCAAAGCCCACCUCCACUGUGACAUACUUCCUUCAACAAGGCCACACCUACUCCAAGAAGGCCACAGCUCCUAAUAGUACCACUCCCUUAGGGCCAAGCAUUCAAACAUGUGAAUCUAUGGUGGUCAAACCUAUUCCAAUCAGCACAGAGAGUCAUGGUAACUGCUCUAUAGCAAGUGUAACCAGACACCAAAGUCCCUAGACAAAGUAUCCACAUAUUUUCAUUCACAGAGAAGAAAAAAAAAAAAAAACCCUGAAAGACAAGCAUUUCUUACCCACUAGUCAUAAAACUUCUGCUUAGAUGGUCUAUGGUAAAGAUUCAAAAUUCUCCUGUUUGUUUAUCCAGAACAUUGGAGAUGUUUAAGACCCACACAUAAGUGAAAGUUCCAAGCAAGACACGCUGAAGAUGUAUGUGAACAUGUGCCAUGUUCUUCAGAUGCUCUUAUAUAUGUAUGUAUGUAAAUAUAUAUGUGUAUAUGCAUAUUUGUAGACUGGCAGUGUUUGCUGUCCUUGCUGACCAAAGAAAAAAGUUCUCUUUUGCAGCAGAAGAUAUUAAAUUAGCAACUACCAUAGAAAUGCAUUUCAUUCCAUUGGCUUUUGCUGUGGCUUCAGGAGCAUUUAGGAAGAUUGCUACAUGCUUCCGUGCCUUCCCUGGUGUUGACAUAUGUAUUUGUGUCAAAAGCGUGAAGUUCUUUUUUUUUCCCCCUACAAUAUAGAGCUACUUAAAUUUUUUCCCCCAGAGGGAACUAGCAAUAGAUUUAGAGCACAAAUUGCUGCAAAACACCCUGACUCUUAUAAUAACCUAAAGAUAUAUUAUUUAUACGAACCAACAGUGGUCAGGAUCUUUUUGUAACAGAUAUUAAAAAUAGUGUAAUUUGUAUGCUUGUGAUACAUAGUUGAUUCUUUAUGUGUUUGUGUACUCUUUAAUAAUAGACAGAACUGGGCUAUUCUCCCUCCCUCCCCCCAAUGUGUCAGGGCAGGUGCUGUUUAGUUUGGCCACACAAUGCUUGUUACACUUCAUCAAAACUGAAUUAGUUUGUACUUGAAUUCUGUUCCGGUUGUCCAGAAGCUGGGGUUAACCAUCUAAUGAUACAGUAUCUUUUAUGGGUUGAUAGAAAGAAUAUUAUCUACUUUUUAAAAGACAUAUUUUAAGACUAAUAAAGACGUAAGUAGACCACCC